CCUACGGGGGGCUGCAGUGGGGAAUAUUGCACAAUGGGCGCAAGCCUGAUGCAGCCAUGCCGCGUGUGUGAAGAAGGCCUUCGGGUUGUAAAGCACUUUCAGCGGGGAGGAAGGCGGUGAGGUUAAUAACCUCAUCGAUUGACGUUACCCGCAGAAGAAGCACCGGCUAACUCCGUGCCAGCAGCCGCGGUAAUACGGAGGGUGCAAGCGUUAAUCGGAAUUACUGGGCGUAAAGCGCACGCAGGCGGUCUGUCAAGUCGGAUGUGAAAUCCCCGGGCUCAACCUGGGAACUGCAUUCGAAACUGGCAGGCUAGAGUCUUGUAGAGGGGGGUAGAAUUCCAGGUGUAGCGAUGAAAUGCGUAGAGAUCUGGAGGAAUACCGGUGGCGAAGGCGGCCCCCUGGACAAAGACUGACGCUCAGGUGCGAAAGCGUGGGGAGCAAACAGGAUUAGAUACCCUAGUAGUC
rnacentral:rRNA from 1 species